GACGAACGCUGGCGGCGUGCCUAAUACAUGCAAGUCGAGCGCUUCUUCCCUCCCAAGUGCUUGCACUCGAUUGGGAAGGGGAGUGGCGGACGGGUGAGUAACACGUCGGUAACCUACCCAUCAGUGGGGGAUAACACUUGGAAACAGGUGCUAAUACCGCCUAACAGUUUAUGCCGCAUGGCAUAAGAGUGAAAGGGGCUUUCGGGUGUGGCUGCGGGUUGGAUCGGCGGUGCAUUAGCUAGUUGGCGAGGUAACGGCUCACCAAGGCCACGAUGCGUAGCCGACCUGAGAGGGUGAUCGGCCACACUGGAACUGAGACACGGCCCAGACUCCUACGGGAGGCAGCAGUAGGGAAUCUUAGGCAAUGGGCGAAAGUCUGACCGAGCAACGCCGCGUGAGUGAAGAAGGUUUUCGGAUCGUAAAACUCUGUUGUUAGGGAAGAACAAGGGCGUUAGUAACUGAACGUCUCCUGACGGUAUCUAACCAGAAAGCCACGGCUAACUACGUG
rnacentral:rRNA from 1 species